AUUGCCUCAGUAACGGCGAGUGAAGCGGCAACAGCUCAAAUUUGAAAGCUGGUCCCCUUGUGGCCCGCAUUGUAAUUUGUAGAGGAUGCCUCGCGGACGGCGCCGCCCUAAGUCCCUUGGAACAGGGCGUCAUAGAGGGUGAGAGUCCCGUAUGUGGGUGGAGGCCCGACGCGUGUGAGGCUCCUUCGACGAGUCGAGUUGUUUGGGAAUGCAGCUCUAAUUGGGAGGUAAAUUUCUUCUAAAGCUAAAUAUCGGCCGGAGACCGAUAGCGCACAAGUAGAGUGAUCGAAAGAUGAAAAGCACUUUGAAAAGAGAGUCAAACAGCACGUGAAAUUGUUGAAAGGGAAGCGCUUGCCGCCAGACUCGCCCGCGGUCGAUCAGCCGCCGUUCUCGGCGGCGCACUCGGCCGCGGUCGGGCCAGCAUCGGUUCGGGCGGUCGGAGAAAGGCGGCGGGAAUGUAGCUCCCCCCGGGGAGUGUUAUAGCCCGCCGCGGAAUGCGACCUGCCUGGACCGAGGUCCGCGCUUCGGCUAGGAUGCUGGCGUAAUGGCUGCAAGCGGCCCGUCUUGAAACACGGACCAAGGAGUCUAACAUCCACGCGAGUGUUCGGGUGUCAAGCCCGUGCGCGGAAUGAAAGUGAACGGAGGCGGGAGCUUCUGGCGCACCGCCGACCGAUCCGGAUGUCUUCGGAUGGAUUUGAGUAAGAGCGUGGCUGUUGGGACCCGAAAGAUGGUGAACUAUGCCUGAAUAGGGCGAAGCCAGAGGAAACUCUGGUGGAGGCUCGCAGCGGUUCUGACGUGCAAAUCGAUCGUCAAAUUUGGGUAUAGGGGCGAAAGACUAAUCGAACCAU
rnacentral:rRNA from 1 species